GCAAUCUCGGACGUUGUAUAAAGCAGACGAUUUCUGGGGGAUACGCGUAGUGACAUUCAGCUGAUUGCGACACUACGUAGGGUAGGUAUCGACAAAGCCUUUUGUCGAUAGACGGGAUACUUAAUGUCGCGGGAGCGGCAGCGAAUGGGAAACCCAACA
rfam:Vibrio proteolyticus NBRC 13287 DNA, contig: VPR01S08.